rnacentral:rRNA from 1 species
GAUGAACGCUAGCUACAGGCUUAACACAUGCAAGUCGAGGGGUAACGAGAGGAAAGCUUGCUUUCCUUGUCGACGACCGGCGCACGGGUGAGUAACGCGUAUCCAACCUGCCCCCAACCAGGGAAUAACCUUGCGAAAGUAAGACUAAUACCCUAUAAUUUCCUCAGAUGCCAUCUGACGAGGAAUAAAGAUUGAUCGGUUGUGGAUGGGGAUGCGUCUGAUUAGCUUGUUGGCGGGGUAACGGCCCACCAAGGCAACGAUCAGUAGGGGUUCUGAGAGGAAGGUCCCCCACAUUGGAUCUGAGACACGGUCCAAACUCCUACGGGAGUCAGCAGUGAGGAAUAUUGGUCAAUGGGCGGAAGCCUGAACCAGCCGAGUAGCGUGCAGGAUGACGGCCCUAUGGGCUGUAAACUGCUUUUAUACAGGAAUAAAGUUAGCCACGUUUGGUUAUUUGUAGGUACUGUAUGAAUAAGGACCGGCUAAUUCCGUGCCAGCCGCCGCAGUAA